AUGAGGUUCCCUGCUCAACUCCUGGGGCUUCUCCUGCUCUGGGUCCCAGGAUCCAGUGGGGACAUUGUGCUGACCCAGAAUCCACUCUCCCUGUCUGUCAUCCCUGGAAAGAUGGCGUCCAUCUCCUGCAGAGCCAGUCAGAGCCUUGAAGAUAGUUAUGGAGACACUUAUUUGAGCUGGCACCUGCAGAAGCCUGGCCAGUCUCCACAGCUCCUGAUCUAUUUGGUUUCCAAUCGGGCCUCUGGGGUGCCAGACAGGUUCAUUGGCAGUGGGUCAGGGACAGAUUUCACCCUUAAAAUCAGCAGGGUGGAGGCUGAGGAUGCUGGAGUUUAUUACUGCCAGCAGAGUAUACAAGAACCUCCCACAGUGGUACAGCUCUGA